GAUGAAGAACGUAGCGAAAUGCGAUAAGUAAUGCGAAUUGCGGAAUUCCAGUGAGUCAUCGAAUCUUUGAACGCACAUUGCGCCCUUUGGUAUUCCGAAGGGCAUGCCUGUUCGAGCGUCAUUAUCACCCCUCAAGCCCUCGGCUUGGUGUUGGACGGUUUGGUGGAGGCCCCCUCGGGGGCUCCUGCCCCUCCCAAAGACAAUGACGGCGGCCUCGUUGGACCCCCGGUACACUGAGUUCUUCACGGGACACGUAUCGGACACAUGGGUUUACGGGACACGGUCUGCCUCCCCUCAGGGAGAAUCUUUCUAAGGUUGACCUCGGAUCAGGUAGGGAUACCCGCUGAACUUAAGCAUAUCAAUAAGCGGAGGA
rnacentral:misc_RNA from 1 species